GCGGAGUGCUAAGCAAACCGUGGGGUUCAAAGGUCACAUAGAGUACGGGCAGGACGGCCUGGGUGCGGAGCCGGGCGAAGACGCAUGAUCUCACCAUCUUAGUAAGGGCACCAGCUCGCAGGAUUUUCCCCAGCACCUGAAGACAUGCUUACAUGUCUUCCUCUGCUUUGCUGGAAGAGACUGCAAUGGCUGUCCAACCAACAUCUACAGUUCGGAUUCUUCAAAUCAUCAUAUCAUCAUCCCUACCAAACAAUCCGUGAAUUCUACAGUAAUCUUGCAACUUUGAUGUAAUGAAAUAUAAAUCAGAUAUUUCUAAGUUCUGAAGUAACCAGGGUAUGUAGACUCUUCUUCUACAAAACUGUACCCUAACCCUAACCACAGUUAAAAUCCCAUCUCGCAAGCCUGUU